rnacentral:misc_RNA from 1 species
GUGAAUCAUCGAAUUUUUGAACGCAAAUUGCACUCUCUGGUAUUCCGGAGGGUAUGCCUGUUUGAGGGUCAGUUUAAAUAAAAAUCGGUGUGGUUGCGACCUGUCGUGGUGACGUACCGGAUUUGAGUUGGCUUGCCUUCGGUUAAUUGACCUAUGAUGUUGCAUGAUUUUUUCGAACGUAGUUAAAUUAUUUUACGUUUGGUUGCGAUAUUGGAUACUA